rnacentral:rRNA from 1 species
UACGAAGGGGGCUAGCGUUGCUCGGAAUCACUGGGCGUAAAGCGCACGUAGGCGGGCUCUUAAGUCGGUGGUGAAAUCCUGGAGCUCAACUCCAGAACUGCCUUCGAUACUGAGAGUCUCGAGUCCGGGAGAGGUGAGUGGAACUGCGAGUGUAGAGGUGAAAUUCGUAGAUAUUCGCAAGAACACCAGUGGCGAAGGCGGCUCACUGGCCCGGUACUGACGCUGAGGUGCGAAAGCGUGGGGAGCAAACAGG